ACACACGAAUAUUCUUAUUAAUGUGCUUUGGUAAAGUGGGCUAAGGUUUCGUUAGGGGGCUUUAAGUAUAGGUAUUUCUCUUUCUUAAUUUUGUAUUAUAAUGAUCAUAUUCACAUAUAUAUGGUGGGUUUUGUGUAAGUACAUAUAAUUUCCGUUCUUUUAUAACGAAACAUCGUUUUUUGAUAUAGAAAAAUUAUGCGCGUAUAAUAUUACUAUGACAUGAAAUUUUAAAUUAUUUUAUGGAUAAUAGAGGUGAAUUGCCAAGGAAGUAAAAUGAGAUCAAAUGAUCAAGUAUUUUUUUAUUUUUUAUUUUUUUUUAAAUUUGUUUUGCAUACAUUGGGUCAAGGACAGCCGUUGAUGGAGAUGGUAAUUAACCAAACUUUGCGAUUUCGAGAUUCUAAAUAUCCUUUGAACCUUGAUUACGUGGUUAGUUUAAACUAUAGUAUUGAUUUUGUUUCAACUAUGGUUCUUCCUUGGGAACUUUUUCUUUGAUCAGUAAUAUUUUUAAUUGGUAUGAUUUCCAAGUUCUUCUUUAUAAGAUUUUUUUCAUCACGUUAUUAGAAUAUUUUUUGUUUCUUUUAUCAUAUUUUUUUAUUACGUUGUGUUUGUCUUGAACCGUAGUUUUAUGCUAUCAUUUUGUAGCUCACCGAUGGCAGAAUAAGCCGAAGAAGUUUGUGCCUUUUUCUUGUUUCCUUCAAAAGAUGCAGCAGAGUUCAUCCUUGAAGUGAAGGAGGAAUUUGCUAAUUAACAAAGUUGCCUGUAAUUGUCAUCCCACCAAUACAAGCAAAUACAUCGAAAACUCUUCUGCGUUUUAUCGAGUUUACACUUAUGAUCAGGUUCGUAAUAUAAGGUCUUAUAAUGGAGAAAAGAGAGCCUAUCUUUGUGAUUGCUUUCAGUCCCUUGAUGAUGAUCAAUAUUGUUGCCGAGAAGAUCUUUGUUGGAGCAUAGGAUCAGAAUUUUUGGAGCAGUGUUGUGGUCUAUAUUCAGUUCUAUGGAAAAAAAUUACAACUACGAUAAGAAAAUUUACGAGGCAAUUUCAGAAGAAAAAAAUAUCAAAAACAAUUAUAGGUAAAGAACCAAAAGACUUUGUUUAUAUAUUAGAACAAUUAGAAAUUCAAUAAUUAAUUUGUGUGCUCU